ACGUGAUAUUUUUUUUUCUUCUUUUAUUUCCAAAUUGAUCGGUAGACCCCACGGGAAUUCCCAAUUUCCAUUCCACUCAUAUACACACUCUCUCUCACAUAUAUAUGGACACUGACAGUAACAAUACAGAGGGUGGACACCAUCAACAUCAUCUUCUCCACCUUAUACCAUAACAGCAAGACACUUCCAUUUCGAAUCAACUUCCAUUUUUCUCCAAAACAAUAGCCAUUAACGCACACAAUUACCCACAAAUACACAAAAACACGAAGAGUGGGUCGAGGGUGAAGCGAGGUCGAAAGAAAAAUAGAGAGAUAGAGGGGAUCGAAAUGGAUAGAGAGUGAGAGAUAUAGAGGAGGGAUAUGAGAGAUAAAUCGAAGAGGGAGAGAAAAAUUGGUGAGAAUAUGAGAGGCGCAGAUCGGAAACACGAUCGAGCCGGCGUUCUUGGCCGAAAACGGCCCGCCUCCUCCCCGGGAAAUACAAUCAGCUGUUCACCCACCACCACAAACGACCAACAUCCACUUCUCACCGUCCAGAAAUGCAAAACCAGUGAUUAAAUCACCCAAAAUCAGCCUGUUUUUGAGUUGAUUCCGGCGGAGCUUCACCGGAAAUCGUGUACGGGUUUGGUUUGUGCAGUUUCUUUUUUGGGUUAUCUGUUCGUCACUGCAUAAUUGUGUUUGAAUCCUACUCGAGAAAGUUUUCGUGUUCGGUGGGUUGACAGUCGAGAUUGUAUAUCCGUCGAGGUUAUCGGGACGACUCUUAUUUCUCUUAUUAAAAUCAAUCGAAAGCUCUUGAGGGUCAUCUCUUUACUCCCAUUCUGCCUUCUUUAUUUUAUUUUGUUUUGUUGAAAUUAGGGUCCAUCUCUUUACUCCCAUUCUGCCUUCUUUAUUUUAUUUUGUUUUGUUGAAAUUGCUAUGAUUAUAUGUUGGGUGAUUGUAGUUGUUUCAUAUUGUUGAUGUUAUGAUGAUGUGGUUGGUGAUGACUCCGAUGAUAUGAUGAAUGAAUUUGAUUAGUUUUAAUGAUGCGAUUGAUGAAAAGAAAUUUGGGGGUGAAUUCGAGAAGAUGAUAAAAUAGUGAAUUGAGAUUAAUUUGGGUUUAUUAUUAUUUUUUUAAUUCGAAAUAAGUUUGAAUAUUGUGAGAAUAUGAUAGAAUUAUGACAUGUUGAAAUGAAUAGACAAAUGUAGGUUUGGGUAGGCAUCAAUUUAGGAAUAAGUGUUUUUCGUUGAAUGAUUGAAUGCAGAAUGCGUAUUGAAUGUUUUCUAGUUUAUCGUAUAUGACUCAAGUGUAUUCAUUUGGUCGGGGAAUUCCCCGACGUGUUAUGUCUUCGAAGGAGGUUCGUGAACAAAGCCCGAGGCAUCGGGUAAGACAUUGGAGCAUAGUUUAGGAUUAGUGUAGGUUAGCGUAAGUUUAUUUUUCAGUACCUUUUUCAUUUCGGGUUGUAAUAAUUGGACUGAACACUAUAUUUUGGAUUUGUUUUAUUUUGUGUGUUUGAUUGAUUGUUUUUAUGUGCUUUGUGUAGUUUAUGCACUUGUAAUGUCAAAGUUAGCCGAUACGCUCUACCAAGUGACCGUGGUCGAACCACGGGAUCAAGGGGUGCCUAACACCUUCCCCUCGGUCAACAAAAUUCCUUAGCCGGAAUCUCUAUUCGCUGAUCAGUUUUAAAGAGUCAAAUUUGUUUUGAAAAAGGAUAUCCAAGGGUGACUUGGCACAUCCGAUUUAUGCCAAGUGGCGACUCUGAAUUUUGAAUAUAAAAAAUCCUUUUCAAAAUAAAUUUUCAUUUUUUGUCACAUAACAAUAAAAACCCUUUCGAACUUCAAAUUAAUCUUUUUUUGGGAGUUAAACAAGGAGUGUGACAGUUCUGACAACUCUGCUGGGGAUUUUUCAGAAUUCAAGCUUAUUUUUGGAGUUGUAUCAGCUUAGUUUGGCACUAUAGGUGUAUAGGCAUUUGUUUGUGUUGUUUUGUGUUAUUGUUUAUCAUUGUUGAGUGCCUACGUGCUCUUUGUUUACAGUUUUUACUUUAUGUGUUAUCGAUUUAUAUCUGACAUCAUGUGCAUAACCCGAGUCUUUCUUUCUGCAACAAGUUCGUAGGACACGUGUGUACACGACCUAUAGUUGAGUCACCCUCAUUUUAGGGGGGAGCCGUUGGGUUGUAUGGAGUAGGUGGCCAGCUAAAGCAAGCCACUAUCAACCAUACACUUCCCCGAACAGCUUUGUUAGUGGACCCCACGUAGGUCAGCCUUGUUAGUGGAUCCCAGCAUAGGUCAGCCUGUAGUUCAUGCUUAUCUACAUCAUAUUGGGACCUAGCGGGACCCAUGUGGCCCUUUGUAGGAGACUCACCUAUAAAGCAUCCCUACUUGCUAAAUGUUGCAUCUCUAAGGGUGAUAUGGUCAUUUGACGGAUUGAUUUGGGAAAAAGCAUGUGCUAGAUUUAAAUAGACUGUGUAGACAAGAAAAAUUGGAAAAAAAGAGAGGAAAAAGAAAGCAAAAGUGAGUCAAAAGGAAAAAAAAAGAGUUUCGUAGUUUUUAGAGUUUUUUUAUGACUUUUGUUUUUCACAAUUCAAAAAUUCAAAAAAUAAAUUUCUACCUUUCGCACUCAUUUUCUCAAAAACAUCAAAAAUAUUUUCCUAUGUCUCGUUUAGCAUGCAUUCAUAAUUCGAAACUUCAAAAAGAUUUUUCAUUCAUAGGAGUUUUUAUAAAAGAAAAAUGCAAAAAAAGAUGUUAGAAAUUUUUUACGUUUCGGAUUACGAAAAUACCAAAAAGAUUUUUAUUUCAUAGUUGUUGAUGUCAUUUUUGUAUGAAGUGUCAAAUUAAAAAUCCAAAAAGAUUUUAUUUUCAUCGUGUAGUCGUGUCUCUCAAGUCAAGAUUUUGUUGUUCUAUAAUCCUUAAUUGUCCAAUCUGAAUGAACUACGCACCCCUGAUUCUCCUCUCUCGGGAGUGAGAUAUGUAGGCAGCCUAUUGUGGGUUCGGGGAUCUUAUUUCAAGAAUUCAAAAAAUAUUUUAUUCACUCUUCGUUUAGAGUAGGUGUUUCAUAUACAUCUUCAAGAAAAAACUACAAAAAUAUUUUCCUUUAAUAGCUUCAAGUUUUAUUUAUGUAUGAAUGCAAAAUUGAAAAUCCAAAAGAUUUUUCUUUGGUAAUCAUAGGUUUCAUUUUGUAUAUGAAUUUUAAAGCUGAAAAUUCAAAAAGAUUUUCGUCAAUUCUUUUGACAAUUUGUUAUUUUCUUUUCUUCAUAAAGUUUCAUGAAUAAGAAAAAGAAAAGAGUUUGAUUGGCCAUUUUGGCAAGAUUUCAUGAACUACGCACACCUGAUUCUCCUCUCUCGGGAGUGAGAUACGUAGGCGCCCUUCUUGGGUUCGGUGACCUUUUAAAAAAAAAGAGAGAUUUUGAGAAAGUGUUGAACUCUAACGCAUUUGCUAUCUCUUGUUCAGUUAGUUUGAGGUGGUUGGUUUGUGGCAUUUUGGCUGGUCUUCCACAUCAUACAAAAUCUGAAGAAGGUUUAGCUGUGUCCAACAAGGAUAUAGAGAGUGGUCUUAUGGAUCAAACAAAAAGUCAGGAAAAUGAGAGUUUAAAGGAAGAGAAUUUGAGACUAAGACAACAAAUGAUGGAAAUGUAUCGAGCUUGAGCUAGUGGGAUGCCUCCACCUCCGUUCCCCACUUUUGACCCUGCAAAUACCUUGAGUCUUCCACUAGAAUCGCAAAGUCAGUUUCUUACUAUUGUUGAUGCACCACAACAUGCCUCAGAAUCCAUUCCUCAUCAAAUGCACCUCAAUACUUCCACCACUCUUUCUUUAGCUCCUCAGCAUAAGUCUACCACAUUCACAGCACCACAUACCGUUUGUGAUUUUGUUGCUCAACCUUCUACUAAGGCUUUCACAUCGGCUAUCAAUCCAAUGAUUGUGCUUCCCCAGCCCACUAGUGAAUCCACGUUCAAUACUCGUGAUAAUCAUUUUUAUACUCUUGAGCCUACAGUUAAAUUAAGUGGACUGCUAAGAUUUCUUACUAAGAAGCCUAGCAUGCUAGAAGAUCCAGAGAAAAUGUUUGGGAAAGUUAAGAGUAUAGAAAAUGAUAUGAAAAGUUCCUUGGAACUUGUGGGCUAUGAAGAUGUUUCAUAUAAAAGCGGGGCUAUGUUUUCAAGUGUUAACCUUCCUCCAAGCUUUGAGACAUCAAAACUUGGGGAGCUUGGUGGACAGAAUGAUUCUGUGAAACAUUUGGUACGAUAUUGCAAUCAAUCAAGGAAAACUGAAGGAAAGAAGAAGGAAAACACAUCUUUUGUCAUGCCAGGGCCAAAGUAGAGUUUGAGAGGUCUAACUCACCAAUACUGUCAGCCUCAAUCCCGAGCUUACAUAUCAAAUUUACUUAUUCAUCUGCAACAAGGUUCCUCUUUUCAAAAUCCAAGGAUUUCCAUUCCACUUCCUCAAUGUCCUUUGAACAAUGCACAAUUGUGUACCCAUCCGCAUUCUUAUCCACAACGACAUGCACCUGUCCCUCAACAUCGUCCUCGAGCCCCACGAAUUUACCAAGGAACCUCUAAAUCCAAGUUUCAUCCGAGGCUAGAUUUCGCAAAAGGGAGAAAGGAAAAGGAUAAUUUCACUCUUAUUGGGGAGUCCUAUGCUAGUUUGUUCCAUAGAUUGAGAUAGAGGGGCAUGAUUCCUCCUCUCCUUAGGUAUACACCUGACCCACAUUCAAGAAAUUUUGAUCCUAAUGUACGGUGUGCAUAUCAUUCUGAUGUUCAGGAUCAUAGUACUGAAGAUUGUCGUACUUUGAAAAGAGAAAUAAAAAAGAUAAUUCAAGAUAAAUUGAUUGUGGUGCAAAACAUUGGCCCUUCGAUUAUCCCACAGAGUUCUUCACCAGCACGCGGUACUGCAUAAUAUAUGGGAGGCAAUGAGUUAAGCAUGGGGAUCCAGAACUUAUUUGUUGAAGGAAAUAUGUCUGACAGUGGUGGAAGCUCAAGUUAUGCCGAUAUGCAAACCAGUGGCUAAUAUGUCAGGCUGAGCAAUUGAGAAGUCACCCCUCUUCUUACUAGGAAGAGGUCUGGUAGUUUGUUUUAUUUUCUUUUCUGUUUUUCAAAUUAUUUCAGUGUUGUAGUUCGGGAUCUAUCUUUUUUUGUCCUUUUGUCGUUUGUGUUCAAACCCUUUUAUCUUUUAUUUCAAUUAAAUAAAGUGUCCCUUUCCUUUUAUGUUUCAAAUAAGUGUUGUUUGUGUAUUUUCUUUAUACAGUACAUUUUAUGUUGAUUCUAGUGAUAUGACAUACCUGCGGAAUUUUUAGUUAGAUCUUAAAAUCCAACUUAAUCAUGAAGCAUUGAAUCAGAGAGUUAAAGUUAAGAAAAGAGAGCAUCUGAGAAAAUAGAUAGAGUGUUGGGGCAUUUGGUGAUCAAGUUGAAGCCUUCUUUGAAAAUUGAGACUUUUAUUUUGAGAAUCACAAGGAUAACUUGGUCAUCAAUUGAAAGACAUGUCUUAAUUAGGUCAAACAGUGUUUGUGUCAUCCUUUCAAGAGGAACAGAAAGAAAAUCAACUCCACGAAAGCAUGAGACAUUCAAUGUGAUGGAUAUACAACAAAGGUGGAGUUUGUAUGUUUGACAAGUUUAGAAGAAGAAGUGGAACACAUACUCAGUUAAAGUUAGUGUUGUUAAAGUAUUGCAAAUGAUCUUCAUUUUUCAUUUCAUGUUGCAUGAUAUGUACUUGCAUUUUCAAGGAUUGAUAUGACGAAGACAUUUCAUUCUGCUAUCUAAACAUCGUGCCGUCCUUUGUUUACCCCAUUUGAGCUUUAGUCCUAUUUUCUUUCAUACCCCUCCUUUGGAAUUAAGAUAGAGUCAGUAAAGCUCAAAAGAAAAGUAUCAAGAAAAAAAAUAGAGUCAGAAGGUCCCAAAAAGAAAAAAAAUUAAUAAAAGAGUCAACAAAAAAAAGAAGAAGAAAAAAUCAAAAUCAAGCAAAAGAACAAGCUUCCAGAACUACGCGUGACCUGAUUCUCCUCUUUCGGGGGUGAGAUGUGUAGUCUUUCCUAUUCUGUGCUCGGUCCAACCAAAUAAAUCAUUUAGAGUCACCCAGUAAAAAGAAACUGGGACAUGAUUUAAUCCUCAUUGUUUGAGUCGAUUCCAAAAGUUGUAAGUCUCACCCCACUUCAAGUGUUGUUUGGGCCUCAUGCCAUCCUUUUUUUUCUAGACCUAUCUAAAAUUCAAGUUACAACCAAAGAAAGACCUUCGGAUCAAUUUUUGAGAAUUUUAAGACUUAGCAUGGAAUGAAUGUGAUGACAUAUUUUAGGAACUACUCAUUUUCCUUAGCAUAAGAAAUCAGGGGAGAAAUAAAAAUGAGAGAAUCUUAUUGGUGAAAACCUUCACGGGCACCAUAAGGCGAUAGUAAGUUGAGAUAGAUAAAAAUGAGAGAGUCUUAUUGGUGAAAACCCUCACGGGCACCGUAAGCGAUGGUGAGUUGAGAGAAAAAUGAGAGAGGCUUGUUCGCAAAAAUCCUUCAAUGAGCCACUAGACGAAUGAGCUCUUCGAAUGCAAUAGGUUCAAGCAAGUAGCUUAGUUUCAGAGCUAUUAACUCAACAACAAUUAGUAGAAAGUUUGGAUGGAAAGAUCAGGCAGUUUGAUCCAAUGUAUGGCAUAAUCAUUAGAGUUGACUGUCAUUUCUAGAUAAAUUUUUCAUUUCUUUAUUUCAAAUGGUGACAUUCAUUGUCUUUUCUUUCUUCUGUGUAUUUUUAUUUUAUUUUCUUUAGUCAGUUGUCCAAAUAAAAUCAUUGUCAUUUUUUUUCUCUUGUCUUUAAGUCAAGCCCAUGUUAAAACAAGUGAGAAAAGAUUUCAAAAUUGGCUACCGGCUUCUUCAAUUGCGCGAAGCAAGACAAAAGACCAACACAUGAAAGAGACAUGAUUGUGAGCCGAAAAAGGACAUGCAGAAAUUUUUAUCAACAGAUAAGUCGGGGAACUCAUGGAAAUACCAAGGUUCAAAGGGUUUAUCUGAGGAGCAUGGAAAAGCAGAGAUAUUGUGCUUGUUUCAGAGUCACCCUUAAUAAAUCGGAGUUUGGUCAAUCAAGCAGCAAGUAAAUUACAUAGGCUAAUGGUUGGAAGCAAGAACAAAUGUGACAAGGGCAAGGCGAUCGCCGCGAAACCCAAAGCCACAAACCAUCCACCCUGCUUUAAACUCACAAGUUUUGUUUGAUGAAACAGGAAACAUAUUACCUUCAAAGCAAGGACUUCAGAGCAUAAAUAUCAAGGCCUGCAAUGCCUCACUUUUACAAAUGCACGAAGCAAUAUUGCUGAACAGGUUUGGUAAUCAAAUCAUGGUAAAAUUCAUCAUCUUAUAUCCCUUGGAGACACAUCUUGUCCAGGGAUUUCAGUUUUCAUUUGCUGGGUGAUACACUUCUUAAAUUGAACCUUCACUCCUAAAAGACGUACCUUUUAGCCGAGUCAUUUCCUUUGAUUCCUAUAAGACGUACCUUUUAGUCAAUUCAUUCCCUUUGAUUCCUAUUAGAUGUACUUUUUAGUCGAGUCAUUCUCCUUUGAUUCCUAUAAGACGUACCUUUUAGUCGAGUCAUUCCCCUUGACCCGUAGAAGAUGUACCUUUUAGUCGAGUCGUUCCUUUGAUUCCUAUAAGACGUACUUUUUAGUCGAUUCAUUCCCCCUUGAUCCCUAGAAGACGUACCUUUUAGUCGAGUCAUUCCCCUUGAUUUCUAAAAGACGUACCUUUUAGUCGAGUCAAUUCCUUUGAUUCCUAUCAGACGUAUCUUAUAGUCGAGUCAUUCUCCUUGAUUCCUAUAAUGAUGUGACUUUUACAAAAGUCCUUUGAUGAUAAACUGGGGCAAAAUUUAAUUCUUGUUUUUGGAACUUUACUUUUCUGGCAAACGAAAUUUCUCUUUAUAAUAAUUUUUGUUUGGGAUAACUUUCUUUCCAGUUUUGAUGUGAUUUCAGGAGCCUGCUCGAAGCACAGGGCGAAUAAAUGGAAAACCAAGCAACAAGGUGAAGAAAUUAAAAGUUAAACAGAUUGAAAAACAGCAAGUCAGGAGCCCGCCUGUAGAACAGGGUGAAGAAAUUGAAAGCAUAGCAACAAGUUUAUGAAAUAGCAAGUUAGGAACCCGCCUGGAGAACAGGGAGUAAAAAUUGAAAGGCAAGCAACAAGUUGAAGAAAUUACAAGUCAGGAACCCUCCUGAAGAAUAGGGUGAUGAGACUCAAGUCAAGAGUUCAAAAGAAGUUGCGUAGAUAGGAUUUUGUAAUUUCAUUUAUGUUUUUAACUUGUAAUUUUUAUUUUUGAUGUAAUGACAGAGCCGCGGACCGAAACCUCGACGGGACCUCACUCGACUCUCCAACUCGGUAUAGUUCCUCUCCUUCCAACCCUUUGAGAUACGUGUCAAUUGAUUCCUUCAUAACUUGGGUAGGUAGGAUGUCCCAAGUCAAUACCCGGUUACUCUUCUUUCUUCUGUUUCUUUUCUUGAAUAAUGGUCGGGUCAAAAUUUGGUCUCGUUGUCUACUUCUUUUUCUGAAAAGACUUCGUGUUUACAUGCAAAGAGGGGCAUGAUAUAGACACGUAAUUUUGUCCCUGUCUGAAAGCAUUUUUACCAUCGUACCUCUCGUCUUACCAUGAACGCUCACCAUGUGAUUAUACCCCACAAAAAUACAAAAAUAGCAAAUUUCAAUAAAUCCCUAAUAUUUCCUUAGCCUAAGAAAUUUUAUCUUGUUUUAACCUUAUCCUAACCAACUACCCCACCUACCUCACCACCACA
rnacentral:lncRNA from 1 species